rnacentral:tRNA from 1 species
AAAAUUUGUAACCAAUAAUUUGGCAUUUGAUUUGAAAUCAAAUUGGUUGUUUUUA